rnacentral:misc_RNA from 1 species
GAACGCACCUUGCGCCCCUUGGUAUUCCGAGGGGCACCCCCGUUUGAGUGUCGUGAAAAUCUCAACCUUCUCGGUUUCUUCUGGACACCGGAGGAGGCUUGGACUUUGGAGGCCUUUGCUGGCUCUUUCGAGAGCCAGCUCCUCUUAAAUGAAUUAGCGGGGUCCUCUUUGCCGAUCCUCGACGUGUGAUAAGAUGUUUCCAUGUCUUGGUUUCUGGCUCUGUUGCUUUUGGGACCCGCUUCUAACCGUCUCAACCUUGCAUCGAGACAACGUUUGAGCGUGUCUCCCUUCUGGGGAAACCCUCUCAACCUCACGAACACUUGACCUCAAAUCGGGUGAGACUACCCGCUGAACUUAAG